rnacentral:ncRNA from 1 species
UAAAUUUCGAUGAAGGGGAAAAGUAGCCUUACCGGAAGGUUAAAGAGAGCUGCCGGCGGUGGAAAGGCGGUACCGAAAGGUAGGGUGAAUGGGCCCUGAAGAUGUGGCAGCGAAAGGGAAAAGUAGCUGCUGCCGGGUAAGCCCUCCGUUAAAAAAGGGGCAUGGUAUCGCCGAUACGGCCGUACCAGAAAAGGGAGUCCUGCUUUCAGGUGGCAAUCACGGCAUUUCGUCCUGAUGGGUGAAAUGCCGUUUUUUGUUAUAGGCAGGACUAAUGAGGGUGGCACCGCGGAUAAAGCAUCCGUCCCGGAG